CUGACUACCCCUCUACUCCAGAGCCCACCUUUUCUGCUCUGGAAGCUUUCAGAAGCUGUCCUCAAUCAGGUCCAGACGAGGAAGGCCACUCUCUGAAUGACUCAGUUGACAGGGCUUGAUGUAGUCCAAGAUGGCUCCGACUUGCUGGAUAGGCCAGGAUAGCCUGAACUCUCUUUCUCCCUGUCUCUAACUUCAGAGUGCUGGUUUGCAGGGUGAACGGCCAUGUCAUUUUCUUUGACUUUAUACCGUAAACUCAUGACUCAAUGACAAGAAGAGCUUCCAGAGCCUCGGGCAGGCAGCCACAGCACCUGGUCCACCCUGUCCUUUUUCUAAGACUCUGAGGAGGUACAGGGCCAGGAGGGCCUGCAUGUGGAAUGGCCUCUGCUGGCACACGUCUUCCAACACUUGGUUCCUGGCUACUGGUGCUAAGGUUUGGGAGGCUGAGGAGAUUUGGGUGUAGAGCCUCACUGGUAAACUAGGUCACUAGAGGUGAAUUCUGCUCUGCUUCUCCACCAUGGUGGACUGAAAACUCGGGGGCUGUGAGAUGAAAUAAACCCUUCUUCCUGUAAGUGG
rnacentral:lncRNA from 1 species